UAUGUGCUUCCUCUUUGGACAUGAUGGUGGGACACGUGGGGUGAAAUGGGCCAGUUUGAGGAACACAGCAGAACAGCACCACUGUGGUUUCUUCGAUGGCAGCCAUUGAUUUACACUCUCACUUCUACAGGGCUCGGCAGGGGAGUCGGGGUUUCCAGGGCUGCCGGGUGCCACGGGACUGUCUGGGUUCAAAGGUCACAAGGGGGGGAGAGGAGAGACGGGCCCUGGGGGACGCCAGGGGGAGCGAGGCACAGAUGGAGAUCCAGGGACUCCCGGUGUACCUGUGAGUGUAGAUUUGCACUCCCCCCACUGGGUGGCAGUGAAGCUUUUUUCAAUGUUGAGAUUCAGUUCUGUGUUUGAAAUAUAUGUGCAGGUGUGCA